rnacentral:ncRNA from 2 species
AAUAUUAGUGGCGAUGGAGUUCGCCUUUAAAUGCGCAAAGCUGAUGACUCCUACAAAAUG